GCGGGGUUAGCUCAGCUGGGAGAGCGUCAGACUGAAGUCCCACUUCAGGAUCCUAUAAUCUGAAGGCCGUGCGUUCGAUCCGCACACACCGCA